GCCUGGCUAGCUCACUUGGUAGUGCAUCAGACUUCAAUUUGAGGGUCCAGGGUUCAAGUCCCUGGUCAGGUG
rnacentral:tRNA from 1 species